rnacentral:rRNA from 1 species
UACAGAGGUCUCAAGCGUUGUUCGGAUUCAUUGGGCGUAAAGGGUGCGUAGGUGGCUUGUUAAGUCAGGGGUGAAAGUUUUCGGCCCAACCGGAAAAUGGCCUUUGAUACUGGCGAGCUCGAGUGCGUGAGGGGUAACCGGAACGAGCAGUGUAGCGGUGAAAUGCGUAGAUAUUGCUCGGAAGGCCAACGGCGAAGGCAGGUUACUGGUGCGCAACUGACACUGAGGCACGAAAGCGUGGGGAGCAAACAGG